CGUCAAACUCCUUUCUUACUAAUAUUAAAGCUUGGAAGGAUGAAAAUUUUGGAGAUCUUUACAAAAAAAAAAGAAUCUUAGCUAGAUUAAAAGGUAUACAAAAUUCCAAUCACUACUAUACAAGACCCUUCCUUCAACAAUUGGAAAAUUCCUUACAAAUUGAGUAUAAAAACUUCCUAAAAUUGAGAAUGAUUACUGAAAGCUGAGGUCCCGUAUUUCUUGGUUACAAGAAGGCGAUGCCAAUACUAGAUUCCACCAUAUUAUGGCCUGUAACAACAAAAGAAAAAAGAAAAUUAGCUUCUUCAAAAAUGAUGCAGGAUUAAUGAUCCAGCUGAAAUUUUAUCACACACAAUUGUUUUUUUCAAAACACCUUCAGCACUUCUCAUACUUUAACUAAUUGGACUAGUAUAUUGCAAGACCCUACUAGCCAUGAAAUAAUUGACCUAAAAAGCCUUGACAACCCCCUUAUGCCAUCUGAAAUCACAAAUGCAAUUUUUUCAUUCAAACCAUUCAAAGCUCCUGGUCCUGGUGGGAUUCAUCCUUUUUUUAUCAAAAGUAUUGGAAAAUAGUGGGUCCCUCUGUCAUUAACUUAUGCCUUCAAAUUUUCUGAAAUAAUUCCAUACCAGAAGGUAUCAAUAACACCUACAUCUGCCUCAUCCCAAAAAUUCUCAAUGCCAAUAAUUUAAAAAAAUUCCGUCCAAUAGGUCUCUGUAACACUAGGUACAAACUAAUGACAAAAAUAAUUGCUAAUAGAUUGAAACCCUUUCUAAACAAUCUAAUUAGCCCAUACCAAUCCAGUUUUAUCAAGGGAAGAAGGACCAGUGAUAACGCGAUCAUAAUCCAAGAAUUGAUUAGCCAAUUCAAGAAAAUCAAAGGGAAAAGGGCUAACAUGAUCCUAAAAAUUGAUUUAGAAAAAGCAUUCGACCGUCUUGAAUGGUCUUUUAUCUAUAGAAUGCUAAAGUUCUUUCACUUUCCUCCAUCAAUCUCUAAAUUAAUAAUGAAUUGUAUUUGUAGUAGCAAUAUAGCGAUUCUAGUCAAUGGUUCAACCACUGAAUUUUUCAAUCCUAGUCGAGGCAUCAGACAAGGGUGUCCCCUCUCACCCUACAUCUUCAUACUCUAUAUGGAAAUAUUUUCUCGACUCAUCUCCAACGAAGUUGAUAUUUGUCAAUGGGACCCAAUUCGACUAAAUCCUCGUAGUCCCAAGAUAUCACACCUUUUCUUCACAGACGAUCUCAGUCUUAUUGCCAAAGUAAAUGACAAAUCUUGCAAAGCUAUCAAAAGAUGCCUCACCAUCUUUUGCGAUCUAUCUGGUCAAAAUAUCAACUUACAAAAAUCUAGGAUAAUAUUUUCUAGGAACUGCUCUCAUAAUGUAACAAAGUACGUGGCCAAUUUUUUAACAUUCGAAUCAACAACUCCUUUGGGAAUUACUUAGGAUACCCCAUUCUCCAAAACCAGUCUAAACCUAAUGAAUAUCAAUUUAUAAUUGAAAACAUGCAGAAAAAAUUAACUGCAUGGAAAGCCAAAUUUCUCAAUAUUACGGGCAGAACAACAUUAGCUUCCUCCUCAUUAAAUUCUAUACCCAGUCAUGUCAUGUAAUAUACAUACCUCCCUAAUAAAGUUCUUAACCAAAUAGACCGUAUCCAACGAAACUUCAUUUGGGGAACAACUGACAGUGCAAAGAAAAUCCACUAUAUAAGCUGGAACACUGUAACAACUCCAAAGGAAGAGAGGGGGGGUCUAAGACUAAAAAGGCCAAGAAAAUCUCAUUUUCCUUGCCAAUCUUGCAUGGAGAAUGCUCUCAAACCCAACCACCCUAUGGUCCAAAAUUAUCAUCACCAAAUACACCAGAAAUAGUCCAAAAAUCCAAACAUCCUUCGUUUGGAAAAGCAUAUUGAAAGGUUGGUCCAUCUGCUCAAAAGGAAUUAGGUGGCAAUCAUGCAAAAACUCGAAUUUGGACCUAUGGAACUCGAUUUGGAUUCCAAACCAACAACCACUCAAGGCUUGCAUUGAGGGUCCCUUAACGAUAAAAGACUCAACCCUAAGACUUAGGGAUAUAAUUUCCAACAACAAUUGGGACCUAUCAAAAACUUCCUUUAAUAUCCUAAUUGAUAUUAUAAAUAAUAUUGAGCAAAUUCCAAAACCUCCUACUGAAAGUAAUACUGACACUCCUAUUUGGAAUCUUAACACUAAUGGCUUAUUCUGUAGUAAAAGUUGUCAUAGCAUUAUCAAAGACACCAUAAAACCCCGACAUGAAUUCAUGUAGAUAUGGAAACUUCAAUGCCCUAAUAAAUUGAAAUUCUUCCUGUGGCAAUGCCUCCAUAAUAGAAUUCCUUGUCAUCAAUAUCUGAGCCACAUUGGCAUUAAUAUUGAUAACAAAUGCCCAGCAUGUCGACUAGAGGAGGAAUCCAUUGUCCAUAUAUUCACUAGAGGUCCUAUAGUGUAGCCUCUUUGGACCAAAUUAGGUUUGGAAAAUCAAUUAACGGCUAACAUGGAUCACUAGCUAAUACACAUCAAAGGUCUAAGACCUAACUGGAAAUCUACCUAUACAGAAUGGGACGACUUCUUAGCUUUCAUAAUUUGGGGUAUAUGGCUAAACAGAAAUAGUAACAACAACAAUAACAUCAACCACAACCCCUCACUCACAACCAUCACCAAUCACUCAACUGAGUUUCAAUACUUAGCCAAAACAACCCCUCAACCAACGGAAAAAUUACCAUUCAAAUCCGUUGGCAUGUACCACCAAAAGGUUGGACCAAAUUAAACAUUGACAGUGCCUUCACUCUUAAAAACAGUGGUAUGAGGGGCGUAUUUAGGGAUAGCAAUGGGAAAUGGAUAUUAGGUUUUAACAAACAAUGCAAUGGGCUAUUUCCAUUACAUAUAGAAUUGCAAGCUCUUCGAGAGGGAUCCAAUUGGCUACUAGAUUUGGACUACUACCACUAGAAGUAGAGACAGAUUCAACGGAAUUAAUAAAUGCAAUGAAUAACGGACAUACAAUAUUGUCUAAUCUAAUACAAUCUUGCAGGUCAAUAAUGCGCCAGGAGAAGAGCUUACUACUACAACAUAACUUCAGACAAGGUAAUUCAGUAGCGGAUGCAUUAGCCAAGGAGGCAAAAUACAAGGAAAACAAGCAAUAUAAACCAGGAUGCAUAAAACUUUUUGCUGAUCCACCUUUUUUUGUGAAGCAUUACCAGGCAAAGGAUCAAAGUCAGGAAUGCAGCUAUAUAAAAGCAGUACCUCUUUCAGUAUGUAAUAUGCUAAGGGCAGUUGGUAACAAAAAUGUCCCGGCUAGCAGUAGUAUUUUGUACUCGGGGAUACCAACCUCUAUGAACACUAUGGCAUGUAAUAUGUCACUUAUCUAGUCUAUCUAAUAUAAAUCCUAUUAUUACUCCAAAAAAAAAAAAAAAAAAGCCUGCUACUUCUCUCUUCCUUCCUUUUCCCACCUUUGUUGGCAAUUAACCAACC
rnacentral:lncRNA from 1 species